GACGAACGCUGGCGGCGUGCUUAACACAUGCAAGUCGUACGACAGCAUUUCCUUUUAGGUUGUGUUUGGAGUGGCGAACGGGUGAGUAACACGUGAGUGACCUGCCCUUCACUUUGGGAUAACGUGCGGAAACGUGCGCUAAUACCAAAUAUUCGCAUUUCUGCUGCAUGGUGGGGUGUGGAAAGGGGCCUUCGGGUUCGUGGUGGGGGAGUGGGCGUCGCGGCCGUAUCAGC
rnacentral:rRNA from 1 species